GAUGAAGAACGUAGCGAAAUGCGAUAAGUAAUGUGAAUUGCAGAAUUCAGUGAAUCAUCGAAUCUUUGAACGCACAUUGCGCCCGCCAGUAUUCUGGCGGGCAUGCCUGUCCGAGCGACAUUUCAACCAUCAAGCCCCCGGGCUUGUGUUGGGGACCUGCGGCUGCCCGCAGGCCCUGAAAACCAGUGGCGGGCUCGCUGUCACACCGAGCGUAGUAGCAAUCACCUCGCUCAGGGCGUGCUGCGGGUUCCGGCCGUUAAACAGCCUUACAAAACCCAAGGUUGACCUCGGAUCAGGUAGGAAGACCCGCUGAACUUAAGCAUAUCAAUAAGCGGAGGA
rnacentral:misc_RNA from 1 species